rnacentral:rRNA from 1 species
UCCUACGGGAGGCAGCAGUGGGGAAUAUUGCACAAUGGGGGAAACCCUGAUGCAGCGACGCCGCGUGAACGAAGAAGGUAUUCGUAUCGUAAAGCCCUUUUGGCGGGGACGAUGAUGACGGUACCCGCAGAAUAAGCCCCGGCUAACUUCGUGCCAGCAGCCGCGGUA